rnacentral:misc_RNA from 1 species
AAAAAAAAAAAAAAAAAAAAUUUAUAAAAAAAAAAAAAAAAAAAUUAAAUAAUAUUUUUAAAAAAUUUAAUCUCCCAACCACAGUCAAACCACCCGUAAUAGCUCCAGUUGAACUGACAUCCCGUGUUGCAUUGGGCUCUUGGCCUUUGAAAGCUGCUGCCAAGGUAGAGGAACCAUUGAAAAAUCUUGCUCUCUGGACUUCAAGGCCUGCAGCCAAACGAUCUGCCAUCAUGAGAGCUUUGCCUUCUUCUGCUAAGACCCGCGCACUUUGCCUUUCCCAGCCAUGGACUUAGCUGACCUCUGAAGUUUAUGCAGAAUCAACCCCUAUACCUGCUAUCUUGGUGGAUUUAUCAACGGACCACCCCUGGACCAACAGAUUAAACGGUGACAAUGGCCAUUAGCUGAUGUACAUGAGGAAAAUUUAAAUUAAAAGCAAUCGGGGGCAAACCCAUAUAGAUCUUACUUGAAUCCGAAAAGAUGCUACAAAGAUUAACCAGGGAAAUUAAGCUAAUUUUACAAUUCAACUCUAAUCUUAUUUAUCACAAAUUCACAGUACAACAUAUACAUACAUUCAAGGUUUAAGAAGAAGUUGCGUUUGUAUUUCAACUUCAGUCAGUCUUAUUUGUCAGAAUACAGCAGACAUGUACCAACAAAAGUUGCACAUUUUAUGGUUUAUACAUAAAGGUUCUUGCUACAGCAUAAGCAUGGAAAAGUACUGCUCAAAUUCUUGAUCAAUGGUUGGUUUUCUGGUACCACGCUGAGCAUCUGCAUUCACAAUAUCAGUCGCUAAAUGAAAGAAAACAAGUUACCCAGUAAUACUCCAAAUAUGUAGUAAUUCAUUUAAGCAUAAGCAGAAAUGAGAUAAUUUAACCCCCACUGACUCUGCAAUCUCAAGUAGCAUGGAAAGUUAAAAUUACCUUGGUUAACACUCCAUCUUCCAGAAGAUAGGACAUACACAUUUGGAUUAACCCCAUUAGAAUUUAAAAUAUCAUCAAGCUCCUUAUCUAUACAUGGUUCAAUGCUGUCAAUUCCAUCUUGAGAGCAAGCAUAAUCAAAAUGGCUUCCAAAUUCUACAAUGGGCUCAUCAAGAUCCUGACGUAAUUCAUAAUGGUAAAGAUCAUGCUCCCCUGCUACAAAAGCAGGUUCAUCUUUGCCAGCACCACCCGUAGACGUUGCUGUAGCGCUGUUCAAGGAACAUUGAACAUCCUUACAAUUGCUUUGGCCCCAAUUCAACAAUGAAGAAGAGGGCCCAUUAGAAGGCCCUAGCUUUGAAACUUCUGUUUCAAAUUUAACUUCCCCUUCCCCAUAUACAGACAUGGCAGAGUCACAAUCUCCAACAAAGCUGUUGCUAUCUUCUGCUGAUUCAAGAUCUGACACAUCCUCCAUAGCAUGUCUCGCAUCACUUUCCUUAACUUCGUUUGCAAUUAAGUCUUCUGCUUCUUGGUUUUCUUCCAACAUUGGAAGAGUUUUGGGCGAUGAAUGAUUAUCCCAGCACUUAUGCUUUGGGAAAGGCAAGCCGAAUUGAUCUGCCUGUAACUUUCUUUUCUUGCUCACGUCAAACAUGUUCUCACUGUGUGAUUUACUGAGAUGGAAGCCGAAAAUAAUAGAAAAAUGGGCAAUAAAACAUUAAAUAAUCUUUGCAUUACUGCUAGCCUUAAAAAAAAAUGAAGUCAGUCCAGGAACAAUCUGCUCGAUCCAUUUCUCUCCACUAAUUUCAUUUUAGGUAUAGAGACCAGGUAAAUCCUUACAGCUCCCAGAAAGAAGCAGAAUCAUUUCUGAAAAGAAUAAAUAUUUUUCAUGAAAAUAACUAUGUCAUAAAGACAUUUAGGCUAUGUUUGGUAGACCAUACUCAAUUCAACUAAGUCUUUAUCUAAAAAAUUUAGGGUCGGCUAUAUGG